UUUUUUAUCUUUUCUUGUUCAGCUAAAAUGCCAAAAUAAAGUGAAUUAGAAAAAAUAAUAAGAAAUUUAUAGGUUUAUACAUAUAUGUAUGUAUAUGUAGAAUGAAAACAUAAAGAAUAUAGAUUUACACUUUUCAAAUAAUAAUAAAAAUAUGAAUUCGAGAUAUAAAAAAAACAGUUUUAUUGACUUUCAAUACGAACAAGUCAUAAAUAGCUUGUGGGAUAUCUUUAAAAAACAACCUCCAAAAAAGUCGAUAUCAACUUCUUCAGCUUUGCCUAGUAAUAUAAAUGAACAACCUUUAAGUACUCGGCUUUUUUUAGAUUUAGCUGAUAAUAGAGAAAUAGUAUUACAAAAAAUAAUUAAAAAAUUAAAUAUUUUAAAUUUAAUAUAUUUUCGUUGUAUAAAAGAAACUGACAUUGAGGAUGUAUAUGAAUUACAUAGAGAACUUUUUCCUGUGAAAUAUCAUCCAAAUUUUUAUUUUAGUAUUUGCAAUUUCGAUGAUAAUAAAAUAGUUGACGAUUUCGUCGUAAGAAUAACAGAAAAAAUAACAAGUUCGUUGAAUACUGCUAGUAACAGUCAAAAUGCAGAAAACAGUGUAAACAAGGAAAGCGAUUUAAACGUAACUUACAUGAAUCGAGAUAAGAAUAAACAAAUAAACAGACAGAUAAAUAUUUUUAAUAAUGAUAAUAACGGUAAUAACAACAAGAACAGAAAUAAUGAUAAACCGCUGAACAUUAGUACAAAUAAAAAUAUAAAUCAGACACAAACAUUUAAAACGUCUAAUAAUUACGUAUACAAUGAUAGUAAUAGUAAAGAAGAAAAAAAGCAAAUAAAAAUAAUAAAUAAAAAAUGGAAAGAUGAAGAAAUAUUUUCAUUAGGUCUUUUUUUACCUUUUUCAUUUAUCGAUUAUGUUAAUAGUAAUUAUAUUAUUUCGUUGCUUAAAAAAAAAAAUAUAGAAAAAGUAAGCGAAAAGGAUGUUUUAAUAAAUUACAUAAAAUUUUUAGAUGAUAAUAUUGUUUAUAAAAAAAAAAAAACUAAAACAAAAAUUAUUGACACGAGCUUAAAACAUCCAUAUUAUAGUAAUACUUGUCCAAAUAUAAAAUUUAAUAAAGAUGAAAAAAAAAAAAAAAAAAAUAUAACAACUAAUUGUGAAAUGAAUCAAGAUAUGGAUACUCUUGAUAGUACAAAUAUAGAUGAAGAAGUGGAUAAUAAAAAAGACAAUCGCAAUGAAGCGGUUACUGCUGUUAUGGAUACUACUAAUGACACUUCUCACGACGUUAUAAAGAAAAUAUUCCCAUCUGUUAAUUCCUACAGAUCUGACAUGACAAAUGAAUAUAACAUGAAUAUAGAACAUACAAGUAACAAGAAUAAACCAUAUAGCAGCAGUAACAACAAAAGCUCUAAAAGUAUCAAUAAUGAUAGCAGCAUUGAAGAUAUGUACAAAGAAUUAAAAAAAAAAGAUGUAACAUACAAAGAAAGAAAUAUAAAUUUAAUUGAAGGGCAUACAUAUGAUGAAACCGAAAAAACAUGUUCGUUUAACAAAAAUAUGUUACAAACUAAUGAAAGUAACAUAAAAGUAAAUGUAAAAAAAGAUUAUUUAAUCGGUUCCAUAUCGAAUUUAAUUAAUUAUGAAAAUGGAGGAAAUGAAAAGGAUUUUGUUAAUGUAUAUAACUAUUACCAAAAGAUGUAUGAUAACAAUAAAAAAGUUAAAAAAAGCUAUUUGCAAUAUAUGUAUGAUACAUCAAAAAGUUUUUUAGAAUGUUACAAUCCCUUAGAAAAAAAAAAUCGUAAUAACGGAAUAAAUAAAAUUAUGCAUAUGUUUAAUAAGAAUGGAAAAAGUGACAAUAAUAAAAAUAAUAGAGAUAAUGAGAAUAAUGAAAAAAACGAAAAAAAUGAUGAACAAGUGGUAAGUAUAAACGCUGAAGUAGAUACAAGUGUGUAUGCGCGUACAUACCCAGAUGGAAAUAACAAUUUAAAAGAUCAGUCGUAUUCUAAUGAUUUGUCAAAUGAACAAAAAAGUAUAAAUUAUAUUUCUGAUAAUAGAAUAAAUUUGAGAAAUAAUAAUAAUAAUAAUAGUAAUAGUAAUAAUANNNNNNNNNNNNNNNNNNNNNNNNNNNNNNNNNNNNNNNNNNNNNNNNNNNNNNNNNNNNNNNNNNNNNNNNNNNNNNNNNNNNNNNNNNNNNNNNNNNNUACAUAAGUCAUUAACCAAUUUAACGAACUUAAAAUUAAAAAAUUUUAAAAAAGAUACAAUAUUUGAAAAAAAGUUACAUGAACAAAUUUAUUCAAAUAAAAAUACAAAAGUGUCAUCA
ensembl:lncRNA